rnacentral:rRNA from 1 species
GACGAACCGAGCGAACGUUGUUCGGAAUCACUGGGCUUAAAGGGCGCGUAGGCGGGCUGCCGCGUCCGGGGUGAAAUCCUCCGGCUCAACCGGGGAAGGGCCUCGGAUACGGGCGGCCUCGAGGGGGGUAGGGGCGUGCGGAACUGUGGGUGGAGCGGUGAAAUGCGUUGAGAUCCACAGGAACUCCGGUGGCGAAGGCGGCACGCUGGACCCCUUCUGACGCUGAGGAGCGAAAGCGUGGGGAGCGAACAGG